rnacentral:rRNA from 1 species
AGAAUCAACGCUGGCGGCGUGCCUAACACAUGCAAGUCGAACGAGAAAGGGGUAGCAAUACCCUGAGUAAAGUGGCGCACGGGUGAGUAACACGUGACUAACCUACCCUGGAGUGGGGGAUAACUGAGGGAAACCUUAGCUAAUACCGCAUAAUACCUACGGGUCAAAGGAGCAAUUCGCUUUGGGAGGGGUCGCGGCCGACUAGUUAGUUGGCGGGGUAAUGGCCCACCAAGACGAUGAUCGGUAUCC